rnacentral:rRNA from 1 species
UGAACGCGAAGAACCUUACCUGGGCUUGACAUGUAAUGAACAACAUGUGAAAGCAUGCGACUCUUCGGAGGCGUUACACAGGUGCUGCAUGGCCGUCGUCAGCUCGUGUCGUGAGAUGUUUGGUUAAGUCCAGCAACGAGCGCAACCCCUGUUGCCAGUUACCAGCACGUGAAGGUGGGGACUCUGGCGAGACUGCCCAGAUCAACUGGGAGGAAGGUGGGGACGACGUCAAAUCAUCAUGCCCCUUAUGAUUUGGGCUACACACGUGCUACAAUGGCGUAACCAAAGGGAAGCGAGAUUGUGAGAUGGAGCAAAUCCCAAAAAUAACGUCCCAGUUCGGACUGUAGUCUGCAACCCGACUACACGAAGCUGGAAUCGCUAGUAAUCGCGGAUCAGAAUGCCGCGGUGAAUACGUUCCCGGGUCUUGUACACACCG